rnacentral:rRNA from 1 species
AAAACGACUCUCGGCAAUGGAUAUCUCGGCUCUCGCAUCGAUGAAGAACAUUGCGAAAUGUGAUUCUUGGUGUGAAUUGCAGAAUCCCGUGAACCAUCGAGUCUUUGAAUGCAAGUUGCGCCCGAAGCCAUUAGGCCGACGGCACGUCUGCCUGGGCGUC